AAUUGUACGCGAUGAGUUGUUCUUGUAGCUUCUGCUGUAUUCACUAUAUGGGGCCUAGCUUAGCUGGUAGCAUGUAAUUUAUAAGUGCUCUUCCAUGGCUGCUACCCACCCGCCAAAGCAAGUGUCCACAUCACGGACCUGCAAAUUCAGCCGAGAUACCAAAUAUAUUGGUUUCAGAUAUCCGAAAGGCGCAAUCCUGGGGUGAAAUUAAUGAAAUGUGACGAAGCUUUUGGUUGACAUGAGAGAUAAUUGACAGGCAGCCAUGUUGCGCGAUGUCA